UACGGUGAAUACGUUCCCGGACCUUGCACACACCGCCCGUCAAGCCAUGGAAGCCGGGUGUACCGUAAAGUCGGUAACCGUAAGGAGCCGCCUAGGGUAAACUGGUGACUGGGGCU
rnacentral:rRNA from 1 species